rnacentral:lncRNA from 10 species
UCAGCCACAAUGAAUACUUACAUAGUUUUAGCUUAAGCUUAACUUUUUUGCGAGUGUUUUUCCCCCGGAGGGGAGGGGUGAGAUUUCUUUUUAAUCUAGUUGGUUGGUUGAAUGAGAUUUGUUUUUGUCAAUGUCAAGAGCCACAGAAAACAAAAUGGAAAAGGGGAGAGGGAAAUACUGACUUGGGAAGCUUUCUCCAGAUGUUCCAUUCCAAAUUUAUAUUGCCUCAAAAUGCCUCUCUUGGUUGAUAAAAGACUAUCAAAUUAUCAGAUACAUACAGGUUUUAGAAAUGCUUACUUCAAGAAUGAUUGUCAGUCAUGAGAGGUAGUACAUUGAAGUAACCAACAUUGAGGAAAGAGAAUUGUUACAGAAACUGGCAUGAUGAGAUGUAUAAUUUAUUUGAGAAGAGAGAGAAAUUUUUCCAGACAGAUAAAAGUGGGCUACAUAACAGGAACAUGUCAACAGAACUACUGGAGAAGGUAAAAAUGCCUUUAGCGUCCAGCUAAUUUUAGAACAAGCAUUUUCGGCUAAAUACAAUAUCCAUUUGACCACCCCCUGCUUUUUGAAACCCUGGCUGACUGUGAAGUCCUUUCUUCUAUCUGAAAUCAACAAUAACCAUCACCACUUAAUUCUCCCAACUUCUUUCAGCAUUGGGGCCCUCUCAAUGACCUAGCUUGUGCCUGUUCAUCUGUGUGUGCGUACGUGCGUGCGCGCGUGUGUGUGUGUGUGUGUGUGUGUGUGUUUUCUCGCCAGCUUCUCAGACUUGUUCCCAUUCAUCCAACACUAGGUCCUUACCUUGAAUCCCUGAACCAUUUCCCACUCUGAAGUCCUUGAUUGGUAGCAACAGGAUGUUAUUGGCAGGAGAAAACCUUUCAAUAAGUAAUCCUUUGACCUUUUUAGUCACUCUAAACUAGGAGCACUCGGUGUGAGUGGGACUCUGGAACUUCCAUAUCAAUUAUUCAUCUAACCGUACCCAAAGCCCCAGGGAAUGGCUCAUUUCCUUUUGGGAUGAUUCUUUCUCAUAUUCCUUUGGGCUCCCCCAUUGCUUUUGGCACCUGCCUGUUUUGUGAGUUACAUCUUGUAAAGACUUUAUAACCCAAGGGCCAAUGCCAUGGUUUUGAGACUAUCCUUUAUUUGUUGUAGAACUGUCCCACAGGUGAUUUUAGGAAACACUACUCUUUGGCCUACAGAGUCAGGGAGGGCCAAUGCAUUUAAUAAUACCUGCAAUUCUUAAGGGAAUAACCCCUACAUUCCACCGGAGCAGGCAGCUGCCUCGGGCAUGGAGCUUUUAUAAAUUUCCUGUUGUGUUAGAGUCAAUUCCAGUUUGUGAAAUUGAGUCUCACAGAGGGAGGUCAGUAAUUGGUAGCACCUGGCUUGGAUGAAGGGCUUCACUCAUAUGAGAGAGAGAGAGAGAGCAUGUGUGUGUGUGUGUGUGUGUGUGGGUGUGUGUAAAUACAGCAGCUUCUCACAGGUAAAACUUUCUACACCAAAGUAGGAUCUUAAGACCAUUUUUCUUCAUCUUUCUUCUCUGUUUGCCAGGGUUUGAUCAUUUCCUGAAGGAAAGACUCCCCUGAGAGAGGGAGCAUAAGGGAAAGGGCAAGUCUAACUUCUGCCACCAACUAACCUUGUGAACUUAAGUUAAUAAUUUAGUUCUUCAUUUGUAAAAUGGGAAAGUAUCCUCUUGGCCACAGGAUGCCUCUUGAAUACAUGAUCUCCUAAGAAUCUGUAGUUCUAUGAUUGAUCUACCUGCUUCAUAUGACUAAAUAUAUGACAACCCUAAGAAGCCUCCCAUGUGGCCACAAAGAUAUACACAUGUAGGGAUAUGGACACAUACAUUGUAUCUACUCAAAAUGUUUAGUUAACUAGUUAUGCAUACAUAUUCAAAAUCAUAUUUAUAAAAUAAUCUGUUGAUUUUUAAAAUACUGUAUUUUUCUACUUUCAUUUUGUAAAACGAUGUUAUUCCUCACCACUGCCAUUUUGUGACUAAUCCAACAGUUUUCCCAGCACAUCAUCAUCACUUCCAAGUUAUUUGAGAUUUAACACUGAGUCCAUGCACAAUGCUGUCACUAGAAAUGUUAUCCCAAGUCACCAACACCCAUUUGCAUCACAUGCAGUCAUUUUUUCAUUUCCUAUACGACUAUAUUUGUAAUCUCCAUAAUGUAUCACUUAGCGUAUUGCAGUUUUACUUGAUCUCUAAAAGGACUAUUUUUAAAAAUUCUAACACUUGCAUUUCAGGGCUAAAAACUUCAGGAAUGACUACUAAAUCAGUGAUACAUUUCUUUUUUUCUCUUUUUAAGUAGUUCUAA